UACGUGAGGGUGCAAGCGUUGUCCGGAAUUAUUGGGCGUAAAGAGCUCGUAGGCGGUUUGUCGCGUCGGCUGUGAAAACCUGAGGCUCAACCUCAGGCCUGCAGUCGAUACGGGCAGACUAGAGUCCGGCAGGGGAGACUGGAAUUCCUGGUGUAGCGGUGAAAUACGCAGAUAUCAGGAGGAACACCGGUGGCGAAGGCGGGUCUCUGGGCCGGAACUGACGCUGAGGAGCGAAAGCGUGGGGAGCGAACAGG
rnacentral:rRNA from 1 species